rnacentral:rRNA from 1 species
UACGUAGGGUGCAAGCGUUGUCCGGAAUUAUUGGGCGUAAAGAGCUUGUAGGCGGUUUGUCGCGUCUGCCGUGAAAAUCCGGGGCUCAACCCCGGACUUGCGGUGGGUACGGGCAGACUAGAGUGUGGUAGGGGAGACUGGAAUUCCUGGUGUAGCGGUGAAAUGCGCAGAUAUCGGGAGGAACACCGGUGGCGAAGGCGGUUCUCUGGGCCUGACCUGACGCUGAGGAGCGAAAGCGUGGGGAGCGAACAGG